GAUGAACGCUGGCGGCGUGCCUAAUACAUGCAAGUCGAGCGAACGGACGAGAAGCUUGCUUUUCUGAUGUUAGCGGCGGACGGGUGAGUAACACGUGGAUAACCUACCUAUAAGACUGGGAUAACUUCGGGAAACCGGAGCUAAUACCGGAUAAUAUUUUGAACCGCAUGGUUCAAAAGUGAAAGACGGUCUUGCUGUCACUUAUAGAUGGAUCCGCGCUGCAUUAGCUAGUUGGUAAGGUAACGGCUUACCAAGGCAACGAUGCAUAGCCGACCUGAGAGGGUGAUCGGCCACACUGGAACUGAGACAUGGUCCAGACUCCUACGGGAGGCAGCAGUAGGGAAUCUUCCGCAAUGGGCGAAAGCCUGACGGAGCAACGCCGCGUGAGUGAUGAAGGUCUUCGGAUCGUAAAACUCUGUUAUUAGGGAAGAACAUAUGUGUAAGUAACUGUGCACAUCUUGACGGUACCUAAUCAGAAAGCCACGGCUAACUACGUGCCAGCAGCCGCGGUAAUACGUAGGUGGCAAGCGUUAUCCGGAAUUAUUGGGCGUAAAGCGCGCGUAGGCGGUUUUUUAGUCUGAUGUGAAAGCCCACGGCUCAACCGUGGAGGGUCAUUGGAAACUGGAAAACUUGAGUGCAGAAGAGGAAAGUGGAAUUCCAUGUGUAGCGGUGAAAUGCGCAGAGAUGUGGAGGAACACCAGUGGCGAAGGCGACUUUCUGGUCUGUAACUGACGCUGAUGUGCGAAAGCGUGGGGAUCAAACAGGAUUAGAUACCCUGGUAGUCCACGCCGUAAACGAUGAGUGCUAAGUGUUAGGGGGUUUCCGCCCCUUAGUGCUGCAGCUAACGCAUUAAGCACUCCGCCUGGGGAGUACGACCGCAAGGUUGAAACUCAAAGGAAUUGACGGGGGCCCGCACAAGCGGUGGAGCAUGUGGUUUAAUUCGAAGCAACGCGAAGAACCUUACCAAAUCUUGACAUCCUUUGACAACUCUAGAGAUAGAGCCUUCCCCUUCGGGGGACAAAGUGACAGGUGGUGCAUGGUUGUCGUCAGCUCGUGUCGUGAGAUGUUGGGUUAAGUCCCGCAACGAGCGCAACCCUUAAGCUUAGUUGCCAUCAUUAAGUUGGGCACUCUAAGUUGACUGCCGGUGACAAACCGGAGGAAGGUGGGGAUGACGUCAAAUCAUCAUGCCCCUUAUGAUUUGGGCUACACACGUGCUACAAUGGACAAUACAAAGGGCAGCGAAACCGCGAGGUCAAGCAAAUCCCAUAAAGUUGUUCUCAGUUCGGAUUGUAGUCUGCAACUCGACUACAUGAAGCUGGAAUCGCUAGUAAUCGUAGAUCAGCAUGCUACGGUGAAUACGUUCCCGGGUCU
rnacentral:rRNA from 1 species